rnacentral:rRNA from 1 species
GACGAACGCUGGCGGCGUGCCUAAUACAUGCAAGUAGAACGCAGUUGCGAACGGGUGAGUAAAGCGUCGGUGACCUGCCUCGUAGGGGGGGAUAAAUAUUGGGAACGGUAGCUAAUACCGCCAUCUUUGAGAUGGACCUGCGUGGUAUGUGGUAGUUGGUGAGGUAAAGGCUCACCAAGGAGACGAUCCAUAGCGGACCUGAGAGGGUGACCGGCCACACUGGAACUGAGACACGGCCCAGACUCCUACGGGAGGCAGCAGUAGGGAAUAUUCCGCAAUGGGCGGAAGUCUGACCGAGCCACGCCGCGUGUGUGAAGAAGGCUUUCGGAUCGUAAAGCACUGUUGUUAGAGAAGCGGUACCUACCGAGAAAGCAACGGCUAACUACGUGCCAGCAGCCGCGGUAAUUC